ACGGAGGGGCAUGUGUCCUGGAGGAGGAGAAUCUAAACGAGACAGCAAUCUGCGAGGAUGAACGGGUUUGCUCCGGCCAGCAAGGAUUUUUUUCUCGCCUUAAUGUUCUGGUCCCCCUUUUCCAUGAAAAGGCCUGCUCGUUAUCCUAGCGUUAGGACGGUAAAUAGUGCUCAGCACGGCAGGGAAGCGUUUACCAGAAAUAAGCUCUAAGUAGAAACUUCUAUCAGUUUCAGUAGGACCAGAAUUUCCUUCCUUUUUCACUGUUCCUGACUCCCGUAUCUAACUGGGAAUGGUCUAAGGAUGAAUUACUGUUUCUUCAGUGACACUGAGAACAUACUGCAUCAUAUAAAUGCUAAGCACCAACCACCCAUCCUUCAGUGAAAGCUAAGUACAGUACUUCAGCUGUUACCAGUCUCUUGCUGUUCCCACUGGUCCUUUACCAAACUUAAUUUCCCCUUUCUGGCAAGAGUCUGGCAGUCGGUCAGAGAAAAGCAAAUUCAUCCUAGGACAGACAAGUAAAAUCGAGGCAAAGACAGUAAAGUAGCAGAAGGAGAUACUGAAGCUUGGUCCUCUCUUACAAAAGGGCACUUGGGAGGGCAGAUGUUUUGCUAUUUGCCACUUUUCCGAGUCGCGGAAGAACUACCCGAGUACUGCUGCCAAAGCUGCUGUAACAGCCCUUGAUGUAUCCACACUGCGGAGGAACGGGGAAAGAGAAGUAUUUUUUCCAACACUGUUAGGACCUAACAAUUCCACAUAUCCAGAAUUCAUUUUGCUGUGGAACAGAUGCUUCACCUUCACUGAUGAAGAAUCAUUGUGGUGCCAGAAUCUGAUUGGAAAUAAUGUGCCUGAGUCUGUCUUCAAAGAUGUACUGUGAUGCCUUAGCUCCAUCUACGGAGUGGAUGUUGCUGCCGCCUUCUGUGGGCAAUUAUUUCAGAAUUUGUCAGCUCAGAUAUAACCAUCUAUGUCGGAUUACCCAGAUCAAUAUUUUCACAUUAAUUUUAUUUCUAGUUCACUUAUCUCAUAUGCUAUCAUCCAGGUGUAAUCAACUGUCCCAGUGCUGUGUUUCCAUCUUACGGAUCUUCAUUAGUCUCUUUGCUGUCAAUCCGUUCUGUUUCUACUCCACACCUUCCCAACUGCAAACCCAAGUGUCACAUCACUCAUCAAGAUGAUUGCCAAAAUAUACUUGGAUCUGCCUGGAAAA